rnacentral:rRNA from 1 species
CCUACGGGAGGCAGCAGUGGGGAAUCUUGCACAAUGGAGGAAACUCUGAUGCAGCGAUGCCGCGUGAGUGAAGAAGGCCCUUGGGUUGUAAAGCUCUUUUGUCGGGAAAGAUAAUGA